rnacentral:rRNA from 1 species
UACGUAGGGGGCAAGCGUUGUCCGGAAUCAUUGGGCGUAAAGCGCGUGUAGGCGGCUUGAUAAGUCUGCUCUGAAAGCCCGGGGCUCAACCCUGGGAGGCGGGUGGAUACUGUCGGGCUCGAGUCCGGAAGAGGAGUGUGGAAUUCCUGGUGUAGCGGUGAAAUGCGCAGAUAUCAGGAGGAACACCAAUGGCGAAGGCAGCACUCUGGGACGUGACUGACGCUGAGACGCGAAAGCGUGGGGAGCAAACAGG